CGCGGCCCAAUCGCCUACUUCCUGGCUGCGCUCCUACUGGGCUCGCCGGGAUCGUGGUUCGCGCUGAUAGGCCGCGGGGGCCGCCGCCCCGCCCCGUCUCUGAUAGGGUAACGUGGAAGCACGAGACGAGGCUGCGUCCGCCGGUGGCGGAGCUGUCAGGAGCUCUAAACGGCCGCGGCCGGGCCGAGGGGAGGCGGCCCGGCGAGGCUUGUGUGGCGGCCGCCGAGUCCGCAUGCGCAGGCCGCCCAAGUCUUUUUGGGUCGGCCCCCAGCGCGCCGGCUUGGCUAGGAGAAGGCUGUCAGCAAUCCGAGGUUUUCCGGUGUGUUGUUUGGAGAGAGAGAAGGGAAGCCGACGCGUCCAGGAUGAGAAGCCAGACCUGGUACCAGGAAGUCUUCGGGGCUGGAUUGCGGAACAGGACGAGUCGCAGAGCCUGCUGCCGUCCCGCUGAGCGUCUCGGAACCAAUACGGACCGAACCCUGAGGAGAGCUCGAGAAACGAUCAGGAGAACCUGGAGCGCAGUAAAGGGCUAG
rnacentral:lncRNA from 1 species